rnacentral:rRNA from 1 species
UAGCGGAGGAAAAGAAACCAACUAGGGAUUGCACUCAGUAGCGGCGAGUGAAGCGGCAAAAGCUCAAAUUUGAAAUCUGGCGUCUUUGGCGUCCGAGUUGUAAUUUGAAGAAGGUAUCUUUGGGCCCGGCUCUUGUCUAUGUUCCUUGGAACAGGACGUCACAGAGGGUGAGAAUCCCGUGCGAUGAGAUGACCCGGGUCUGUGUAAAGUUCCUUCGACGAGUCGAGUUGUUUGGGAAUGCAGCUCUAAGUGGGUGGUAAAUUCCAUCUAAAGCUAAAUAUUGGCGAGAGACCGAUAGCGAACAAGUACAGUGAUGGAAAGAUGAAAAGAACUUUGAAAAGAGAGUGAAAAAGUACGUGAAAUUGUUGAAAGGGAAGGGCUUGAGAUCAGACUUGGUAUUUUGCAUGUUGCUCUCUCGGGGGCGGCCGCUGCGGUUUACCGGGCCAGCAUCGGUUUGGAGCGGCAGGAUAAUGGCGGAGGAAUGUGGCACGGCUUCUGCUGUGUGUUAUAGCCUCUGACGAUACUGCCAGCCUAGACCGAGGACUGCGGUUUUUACCUAGGAUGUUGGCAUAAUGAUCUGUGAAGUCGCCCGUCUU